CAAAUUAUGGUUUGUGUUUCUUGAAUGUAUAUGAUGGAUGUUUGUUCAUGUUAAUCUAACAAUUGGUAUCAGAGCUUAUCAUAUGCUUUUUGAAACCGAACCUAAAUUUAAGAUUUAUUUAUUGGUGCUUUUUCUACUUGUGAAAAACCUAAAGAAAUAAAAAAAAAAAAAAAAGGGUGCGGUUAUGAUCCGUGAGUUUUUUUUUUUAAUUGGAAGCCCAUUAGUUGUUGUAUGUUGGAAAGUCAAAAACAACGGACAAAAUUCUCUACCCAGUCCAUCUCCUCUCUCCCUUCUCUUCUUCACGUCAAAACACAAAAAGGGGAACUUUUCUGUGUUCCUUAAUUUCUGGAGAUAAUUUUCGAAUUACUCCAAAUUUUCAAUCCACAUGAUGCUUGAUGAAAUCCUUUGGAUGUAUGUAUGUUGAAUUGCACUGAUAUGCAGGAACAAUUUGCUUAAGUGAGCAGAGGAUCAGGAUUCUCUUUGAGAUUUUGCAGGCUUGAAUUUGAAGCAUUUAUAGCUCUGAAACUUUUCAGAAGCUAAAGGAGGACCAUGUAUGAGGUUGAGGAAACCUAAUCCUAUGUGGACUAUAAUUAGUUUACUAAGACAUGAAGUAAAGUAUGCUUUGCAGAGGAGUUGAAUCCAUGAUUCACAAGGAAAUCUUUAUGGGAAGGUUUAGGAAUCAUCAACUCAUAUAUAAAGCAAGGUCCCUGUUCUCACAAUUAAUCAAGCAAUAUUGUCUACCCCAUUAUAGACUGCUAAAGCAUUGGAGAGAAUAGAAGACUUGUGCUUUCGGCAUUGCAAUUAAUGGCUUCUACAUCAU